rnacentral:rRNA from 1 species
AGUGAACGCUGGCGGUAGGCCUAACACAUGCAAGUCGAACGGCAGCACAGGAGAGCUUGCUCUCUGGGUGGCGAGUGGCGGACGGGUGAGGAAUACAUCGGAAUCUACUUUUUCGUGGGGGAUAACGUAGGGAAACUUACGCUAAUACCGCAUACGACCUACGGGUGAAAGCAGGGGACAUUCGGGCCUUGCGCCAUUGAAUGAGCCUAUGUCGGAUGAGCUAGUUGGCGGGGUAAAGGCCCACCAAGGCGACGAUCCGUAGCUGGUCUGAGAGGAUGAUCAGCCACACUGGAACUGAGACACGGUGCAGACUCCUAAGGGAGGCAGCAGUGGGGAAUAUUGGACAAUGGGCGCAAGCCUGAUUCAGCCAUACCGCAUGGGUGAAGAAGGCCUUCGGGUUGUAAAGCCCUUUUGUUGGGAAAGAAAUCCAGCUGGCUAAUACCCGGUUGGGAUGACGGUACCCAAAGAAUAAGCACCGGCUAACUUCGUGCCAGCCGCCGCGGUAA